GACGAACGCUGGCGGCGCGCUUAACACAUGCAAGUCGAACGGAAAGGCCUGCUUUCCCUUGUGGAUUGCGGGUACUCGAGUGGCGAACGGGUGAGUAACACGUGAGUGAUCUGCCCCAACUUGGGUAUAAGCCUGGGAAACUGGGUCUAAUUCCCGAUAGGACUGCAGGGUGGUGCCUGUGGUGGAAAACGAUUUUCUAGUGGUUGGGGAUGAGCUCGCGGCCCAUCAGCUUGUUGGUGGGGUAAUGGCCUACCAAGGCGGCGACGGGUAGCCGGCCUGAGAGGGUGGACGGCCACAUUGGGACUGAGAUACGGCCCAGACUCCUACGGGAGGCAGCAGUGGGGAAUAUUGCACAAUGGGCGGAAGCCUGAUGCAGCGACGCCGCGUGGGGGAUGACGGCCUUCGGGUUGUAAACUCCUUUCGACCGCGAGGAAGCCACCUGGUUGGAAGGGUGGUGACGGUAGUGGUAGAAGAAGCACCGGCUAACUACGUG
rnacentral:rRNA from 1 species